rnacentral:rRNA from 1 species
CCUACGGGAGGCAGCAGUAGGGAAUCUUCCACAAUGGGCGCAAGCCUGAAGGAGCAACACCGCGUGAGUGAAGAAGGGUUUCGGCUCGUAAAGCUCUGUUGUUGGAGAAGAACGUGCGUGAGAGUAACUGUUCACGCAGUGACGGUAUCGAACCAGAAAGUCACGGCUAACUACGUGCCAGCAGCCGCGGUAAUACGUAGGUGGCAAGCGUUAUCCGGAUUUAUUGGGCGUAAAGCGAGCGCAGGCGGUUGCUUAGGUCUGAUGUGAAAGCCUUCGGCUUAACCGAAGAAGUGCAUCGGAAACCGGGCAACUUGAGUGCAGAAGAGGACAGUGGAACUCCAUGUGUAGCGGUGGAAUGCGUAGAUAUAUGGAAGAACACCAGUGGCGAAGGCGGCUGUCUGGUCUGCAACUGACGCUGAGGCUCGAAAGCAUGGGUAGCGAACAGGAUUAGAUACCCCAGUAGUC